rnacentral:rRNA from 1 species
GACGAACGCUGGCGGCGUGCUUAACACAUGCAAGUCGAGCGGAAAGGCCCCUUUGGGGGUACUCGAGCGGCGAACGGGUGAGUAACACGUGAGUAAUCUGCCCUUCACUUUGGGAUAACCCCCGGAAACGGGAGCUAAUACCGGAUACGACCACCGUGGGCAUCCACUGGUGGUGGAAACUUUUUGGGUGGGGGAUGUGCUCGCGGCCUAUCAGCUUGUUGGUGGGGUAAUGGCCUACCAAGGCUUUGACGGGUAGCCGGCCUGAGAGGGUGACCGGCCACACUGGGACUGAGACACGGCCCAGACUCCUACGGGAGGCAGCAGUGGGGAAUAUUGGACAAUGGGCGGAAGCCUGAUCCAGCAACGCCGCGUGAGGGAUGACGGCCUUCGGGUUGUAAACCUCUUUCAGCACCGACGAAGCGCAAGUGACGGUAGGUGCAGAAGAAGGACCGGCCAACUACGUGCCAGCAGCCGCCGCAGUAAAAC